CAAUUCACUUGUACAUGACAUAAAUACUAUACUAUAACAUUAAGGUUCGAGUUUACAAAACUCCAAAAAUAACACACUUUAGAGCUUGAUAUUUAAAACGUACCAAUCAAACAUAUUUUGGCUUCCAAUACCAUAAUAUUUUCAAACCGAGCCUAAAAUCGCUUCUUCUGCCUCUUCACGCUCCAUUCUUUCUUCUUCGCCUAGACGAGUGGGAAGCCUACGCAGACUACGAAGACGGACUAGCUAGUGAGUUAACAAGUGGCUCUAGGGACUCACCGUGGAGGAGCCUGGUGGACAUGCCGCGUGUGCAUGUGUUACAAGCCAGGCGUCAGUACCUGAUCAACCAUGGGAGCAGCCCCAGCGUCGCAAGCCUGGAACGCGUGAGCGUCGUGCCAGUGUGCGCGUCACAGGACCGGAGUGGGUGUAGCUGUGUGCGUGGUGUUCCUGCCUGUCUGGUGGACCAGCUGCGUCUGGUGGUGGAAUUCCUUAUGUAUCGUGAAGUCUGAACUGGAAAGGAUAUCAAACAAACAAAGGAAAUAUCUAUUUCGACCAGUUCCUAUAUAUCUCUCUGUCGUCGUCCUCCUCCAACCUUUACCCCAAUUCCUUCUGUUGGUAUAGAUCGGCGCUGUUAACAAUUGGUAUCAGAGCUCCAACGAUCCUCGGACCUUCUUCCUCCAUGGCUACUGCUUCAUCACCGAUCGACGCCCAGCUCACUCAAGCGCUGGAACACCAAACCCGUGCCAUUCUCGCCGAGCUCGACAAACGCUUUUCCGCCAUCGAUUCCAAGUGGGAGCUCCGCGUCGGUGCCCUGGAGUCCCAAGCGAAAGAGUUCGCCCGCCACCACGAGGACAUCUCCUCCACGAUCCGGGCGGAUGUCGAGGCGCACCUCUCAGCGGCCGAUGCGGAUACCCUGGACCGGAUCCGCUACUGGGAGGCAUCCACAGGUGCUCGCGUUACCGCCCUGGAGUCCGCCAUCCACCUGCUCGAUACUUGGCGUCCUCGAAUGGGGUCUUCAGUGGAUGCUUUCCACACCUCCAUGGAUACAGUUCACGCUGAACUGUCCAAAAUGGAGAUCCAAUGGUCCAAUGGAGCGCGCGUUGACGGCUUCUCCAGGCCCAGCCUCCUUGACGCGCGCGAAUCGGCACCGGCGCGCUCACCUGCGCCCGUCAGCUUCGCCGAUGGCUCAUGUUUUGGGCCCCGCCUUUCCUCUACUAACCGGGACUGUGGAUUUGGGCCCUAUGUGGUCGAUCUCCACUUCCCGGUCAAGGGUACGUGGUCUCCUCAACCCCAUGGUUCAUUUGAGUUUCCUGCCCACCAUAAUUUCAGUCCUGGAGAACUAGAGCGUCGUGGACUCUCGAGUCGCGGGUUGGGUGGCCUUCCUAAACUUAGUUUCCCAGUAUUCAAUGGUACUUGUCGCAAAUUAUGGCAAAAACGGUGUGAAGACUAUUUUGAUAUGUAUGCCACCGAAGAGAUAAUGUGGGUCAAAGUCGCUACUAUGCACUUCCAAGGUGUAGUUGCACGCUGGCUGCAGUCAAUUGAGCUUGUUUGUCGUCGCUCUCUUGGCGCCAGUUUUGCCAAUUCGUCCAUGAAAGAUUUGGCCGCCAGCAACAUGAAUUGGUUAUCCGCCAGCUUUUCCACAUAAAACAGACCUCUACUGUCCAGGAUUACAUUGAUCGUUUUUGCGAGCUAGUUGAUUUGCUGGUCACCUAUGAACACACAACAGACCCUUUAUACUACACUAUGAGAUUUGUUGAUGGCCUGCGCGAUGAUAUCAAAUGUGUUAUUCUUGUCCAACGACCUGGCGAUCUCGAUACUGCCUGCUCCUUGGCCUUGUUGCAGGAAGCAGCGGAGCCUGCUCGUGCCGACCGUUCUUAUACGGCUCGGCCAAUGCUGAAGCCUGUCGCGGCUCGCUGGGAUCAACCUCGAACUGGGACUAGUGACAACUCCAAGCACUCCCUCGCUGCUGCUCCAACUGCUGAUUCUAAAGUGGCUUCUCUUCGUGCCUAUCGCCAUGCUAGAGGUCUCUGCCAAUAUUGUGCUGAGAAAUGGAGCAAAGGCCACAAGUGUGCUGAGACAGUGCAGUUGCAUGUUGUUCAAGAGUUAUGGGAUAUGUUGUCUGUUGAUCAGCCAGAGUCUAAGGGGGAGUUUGAGGAUUCUGUUGACCAGUUAAUGCUCUUAUUAUCCAAGGAAUCUAUGUCGGCUAAUACACUAUCUAAGGCAUUCAGAAUUUGUGGACAACUGCAAGGCAUGGAGAUGUUGAUGCUGCUUGAUUCAGGGAGUUCCCAUAGUUUUUUGAAUUCAGUCCGCACCACCGACUUAUCAGGUUUUGUUCCGUUGGACACGCCCUUGUCGGUCAGAGUAGCCAAUGGCAAUGUCUUGCUUUGUUCAGUGGAGCUACCUAAUGCAGAAUGGUCAGUGCAGGGUGUCACUUUUUCUUCCACAUUUAAAGUCCUGCCUCUACCCUUUUAUGAUAUCAUUUUGGGCAUGGAUUGGCUUGAAAAUCUGAGCCCAAUGACAGUGGAUUGGAAACACAAGUGGUUGUCAGUCCCACUGGCUGGCAGUACAGUGCUUUUGCAAGGUUGUCACCCAUUAGUCCCUGUGGGAACUUUGCUGGAGGUCCCACAGGUGGCUGUUAAUUCAGCCGAAUAGAUUCAGUUAUUGUCUAUUGAGGAGUUGCAGUUGCCCGAACAUGUGCUGCACUUACUUCGUGUAUUCCAAGACUUAUUUCAAUCACCAUCUACUUUGCCACCUAGCAGGUCCUGUGAUCACACUAUUCCUCUUAUUGAAGCAGCUCGACCAGUUAAUAUUCGACCCUAUCGGUUUUCUCCUGCGAUGAAGGAUGAGAUCGAGUCUCAAGUGGCUGAAAUGUUGCAAACUGGAUUAAUUCAACAUAGUCACAGCUCGUUUUCCUCUCCAGUGCUGCGGGUCAAAAAGAAGGAUUCUUCUUGGCGUUUUUGCGUCGAUUACAGGCAUCUUAAUGCUCUUACUAUCAAGUCCAAGUACCCUGUCCCAAUUAUUGAUGAGCUACUCGAUGAGCUGUUUGGUGCAUCCUGGUUUUCUAUAUUGGACCUUAGGGCGGGUUUCCACCAGAUUUUAUUGAAAGAGGGUGAGUCUUACAAAACCGCCUUUCAAACUCAUUCGGGCCACUGAGUUUCGAGUUAUGGCUUUUGGUCUCAUUGGAGCUCCUGGUACAUUCCAGAAGGCUAUGAACCACACCCUAGCUCCCCUGCUUCGGAAAUGUGCUCUUGUGUUUUUUGAUGACAUUCCGGUUUACAGUGCCUCCUUGGAAGAGCAUAUUCAUCACUUACAGCUAGGGCUGGAAAAUUAGCUCGAGGCUCGCGAGCUGGCUCGAGCUCGGAGCGGCUCGGCUCGGCUCGGGGCGGCUCGCGAGCCUCGAACGAGUCGAGCCGAGCCUCUUCUUCGAGCUCGUUUUUGCAGCGAGCCGAGCCGAGCCGGCUCGUUCCAGCUCGCGAGCCUCACAAAAAUGAUUAAUUUAUGGAAUAAUAAUGAAUAUUAGAUAAUUUUAUGGAUAAUAGCUCAUUUUUUAGUCUUUGAUGAUGAAUAUAUUAAAAGUUAUAAUUUAAUUUACUCAUAAUGUAGAAUGAUGAUUCUAUAUUUCAAAUUUAUAUAAUGUUAAUUCACCAAAUAAUGCAACGGUAAGUACCAGAAUAUGGCUCGCGAGCCGAGCCGAGCCGAGCUCGGCUCAGCUCGUUUCCAGCCCUACUUAUAGCUAGUCUUCGAGUUGUUAGCCGAGGAUCAAUGGAAAGUUAAGCUCUCCAAAUAUUCUUUUGCACAACAGCAAGUCUCCUAUUUGGGCCAUGUCAUCAAUGCUCAAGGUGUAGCUACAGAUCUAGUUAAAAUUCAAGCUAUUGCCGAGUGGCCAGUGCCAAACUGUCUCAAGGAUUUACGCAGUUUUUUGGGUCUUGUCAGCUACUACAGGAAGUUUAUUAGGCAUUUUGGGGACAUUUGCCAGCCCUUGACCGCUUUACUGAAGAAGGGCAGUCUGUUUGUUUGGACAAAUGAGCAUGGUAUUGCAUUUGACACUUUAAAAAAGUCCUCAUGCAAAAGGCCAUCCCCUCGCCUUCCUUAGUAAGGCCCUGGGUCCCAAGUCUAGGGGAUUGUCAACAUACGAAAAAGAGUACUUAGCAGUGAUCUUGGCUGUUCAACAGUGGCGCCCCUACCUGCAACACCAGGAGUUUGUUAUCCUCACAGACCAUAAAAGCCUCACACAGCUUAAUGAGCAGCGCCUCCAUACUCCUUGGCAACACAAGGUAUUUACCAAGCUCCUUGGUUUGCAGUACAGGGUCUAAUAUCGUCUGAGCACUGAGAACCGUGUUGCUGAUGCGUUGUCGCGGUGUGCCACCGCUGAUCUGCACGCUCUGUCAUCAGUCGUGCCUUAGUGGUUACUAGACGUGCAGGCCAGUUAUAGACAGGAUGCUGCAGCUCAAUCCAUUCUGGCCAAACUUGCAGUCGACCCAGAGGCCCUUCCAAACUAUGUACUGAAGGAUGGACUGAUUCGGUAUAAAGGUCGUAUAUGGUUGGGUGCCGAUGAACAACUACAUCGUCGAGUUGUUUCUGCGUUACAUUGCUCAGCCGUCGGUGGCCACUCGGGCUUCCCUGUUACUUAUAGCCGAGUCAAGCAUCUGUUCGCUUGGACCAAGCUCAAGUCAUUUGUUCAACGCUUUGUCCAGCAGUGUCAGAUCUGUUUACAAGCUAAACUGGGCAGAUCUUCAUAUCCAGGCAAGUUACAGCCCUUGGAGGUCCCUAAAUCAGCUUGGCAUACAGUAUCCCUUGACUUCGUGGAAGGUCUUCCUCGUUUAGGAACAGCUAACUGCAUUUUGGUGGUAGUGGACAAAUUCACUAAGUUUGCUCAUUUUAUUCCCAUGUCACACCCAUAUACUGUUGCCACAGUUGCCACACUAUUUUUGUCUCAUGUGUACCGACUACAUGGAUUUCCUAUGGCUGUGAUCUCGGAUCGAGACCCUGUUUUCACCGGUCAUUUUUGGCAACAUCUCUUUAAGAUCGCCGGGGCCGAACUGCGCAUGAGUUCUUCAUACCACCCUCAGACAGAUGGCCAAACCGAACGCGUUAACCAAUGUCUUGAGACGUUCCUCAGGUGCUUCACUAAUGCUUGCCCCAAGAAAUGGUUUGUGUGGCUUCCUACUGCUGAAUUCUGGUACAAUACCAGCCAACACUCCGCCUUAGGGUGCUCUCCUUUUGAAGUUCUGUACGGUCGUAAGCCUCAGUCACUUGGCAUUUCCAUUGAUGCUGAUCUACCCGAUACACUGUCUGAUUGGUUACAGGAGCGCUCCCAAAUGCAAGAUUUGGUUCAUCAGCACUUGGUUCGAGCCCAACUCAGGAUGCAGCGUCAGGCUGACAAAAACAGGUCUGAGCGCUCGUUUGCCAUCGGUGAUUGGGUGUACAUGAAACUCUAGCCCUAUGUGCAGUCAUCUGUCUCGCCGCGAGCUCAUCAUAAGCUGAGUUUUAAAUAUUUUGGCCCUUACAAAGUCACAGCUCAGGUCGGUAAGGUGGCAUAUCGUUUGGAGCUGCCGGUCUCAAGUAAGAUCCACCCGGUGGUCCACGUCUCACAACUGAAACUGGCGGCAAGUUACAAGGGCCCCGCUCCUGCAACUCUACCUAUUGAUUUACCUGAGUUCAGUGUUCCUGUUCAAAUCCUUCAGACGCGAGGACUUACCAAAGGCAACCAUCUCGUACAGCAAGGCCUUGUGCAGUGGUCCGACUUACCUUCUGACCUGGCCACCUGGGAAGAUCUUGAAGCUCUCCGUCAAUGUUUUCCUGGUGCUCCUGCUUGGGGUCAAGCAGGAUUUCAAGGGAGUGAGAAUGUUACAAGCCCGGCGUCAGUACCUGAUCAACCACGGGAGCAGCCCCAGCGUCGCAAGCCUGGAACGUGUGAGCGUCGUGCUAAUGUGCGCGUCACAGCACCGGAGUGGGUGUAGCUGUGUGCAUGGUGUUCCUGCCUGUCUGGUGGACCAGUUGUGUCUGGUGGUGGAAUUCCUUAUGUAUUGUGAAGUCUGAACUAGAAAGGACAUAAAACAAACAAAGGAAAUAUCUAUUCCGGCCAGUUCCUAUCUCUCUCUCUGCCGUCCUCCUUCUCUAACCUUUACCCCCAAUUCCUUCUGUUGGUAUAGAUCGGCGCUGUUAAGACUGAAUUCAACGGAUCACGCUGCCGCUCCCACGCGCCAAAUUUGGGGGCUACAGUGCACACGAUAUACGUUCAACGCAUCACGCUACCAGGCGCUCUACGCGGAUGUUCCUCCUAGCCAGCUUCUCUCUCCCCCUCGUUCUGUGGUGCCUCUCUCACCCUCUCUAAUACUGUUCACGUGAGCCCACUUCCAAUUAUUAGUAGAUGAAAAAUUGAUAGGAGGUGAAAAAUAGGUAUAGAAAAUGAUAUUUUAUGGUUGUAGUGGGGUAUAGGGGAAGGAUUUAGGGGGAACCGCUGUACAGGGUGGAGAUAUAGGGGGAAGAGAACGCUGACAUGACACGUGAGUGAGAUAUAGGGUGAGAUAUAGGGGGAGAAAUUUAGGGGUAACCGCGGAAGACAGUCUAACAGCAUGGUCCUGCGUGGCAGGUUUCGGCGACGGCGCAGCGACGCUCGGAUUCGGAGGCAUCGCAAGAAGCAAGCAGAUCCGGACGGUUUGGGUUGGCUUCGGCCACGCAGAACCGUUGGGCCUGCCUUUGGACCAGGCCGUCACUGGGCCAGUAUCGUCGCCGCCUUAGCGUCACUCACACUGACAAAAAAAAAAGAGAGAGAGAGAGAGAGAUGAAAAAACAGCUCUCUCAUCGAACUUCGAUGGGGAGAGCGUGCAGCGGCACACGAAGUUUUUUUUAUAAAAAAAAGGCGUGCAGCACACCGAUCAAUGUGGCAUCUCUCCAUAUCCAGUAGUAUAGGCGCACAGCAGGUACAGCCACGCACAUCGGCACAUGGAGAAUUGGAGACACGAUCCGUCGCCGCCAUUCUUUCAUGUGGACAAUUCUCAUCUCGACGACGGUUCGCGUGCACCGGCACCAAGAAAAUGUUAUCUGAACCCUGAAAAAAAAACACAUGCGUCUCAGGACUUCCGCGCAUGCAUCUGACGACUUGGAAUUUUGGGAUUUUUUUAUUUAAUAUAGACAUGACUCAUAUUUUAUUAAAUUAAAUUAAUAUAAUUUUAAACAUAUUAAAUAUGUUAUAUAGCUCUUAGCACGUCUCUUAGAAUGUAUUUGGUUAGAUGUAGAUGGAGCAUGAAGGGAUGGAAGGAGGCGGACACAAUUUCAAUAAUAUUUGGUUGAGAGUCAUACAAGGGUGAGGUAAAUCCUGGAGUAGUUUUUGGUGGCGCGCGUGAUUCAAAAAAAAAUAAGGGAACAUAGCCGCCCCUGCCUAUCCCACUUUGACGUCAAACCAAAUACAUCCUUAAUGGUCUUUGGAACAUCAAGACCCUCCCAUGGUUUUUUGGAAAUGGGGCUCUCUGUCCUUUGUGACGUCGACCUCCAUGUGGCUCUCAAGAUGUCCAACGGACGUUGAGGACUAGUGCUCAAAAAAUGGACUAGACUUUUUGGGUUAGCACGAUCUAAAAACAAGAGCCUAAAGAUAAAUUCAACACGAAAUGAUAUAGGUCAAGCUAGCACGGUACGAAUGUGGGUAUGGGCAUGACUUCAAAUUUUGGCCUGUCGGACCCCUGACACGACCUGCACGCAUGGGCGGGGCUUGGACUGGCUCGGCCUAAUAAAGCUUGUAUUGUUUAAUUUCUUUAAUUUAAUAAAGUAUGAAUUUUAUGUGGUUGUAAUAUUUGAAUUUUAUGUGGUCAAAUGAUACUCGCAUUGUUUAAUAUCUUUAAUUUAGUAAGAUAUGAACUUUGUGUGAUUGUAAUAUUUAGUCUUUAUGAUAUAUGAGUUGAGCUUGGGCCGACACAGGGCGUUGAAGACA